AGCCAUUAUGUCCAAAAGGAGAAGAAGAAUAAAGCCUGUAGAUGAUGCAAAGACAUAUAUUCUGUCUUGCACUGACAAGUCUGGAUUUAUGUCAAGACUUGUAGACAGUUGCAUAGAUGUCAGUAUGCCAGGAGAACGGGUCAGAAGAUGAGGUCAGCAUGACAUCACAAGUCCAAAACCAAAGUUUGUCUGCAAGAAAGAGAGGUAAGCAAGCUGCUGUGAAACACUGGACACCCGAGGAAAUUGAUGCAGUAGAGAAACAUCUAAAGAAGCUCAUUGUAAGACGAGAUGUUCCAGGUAAGGCGGACUGUGAGCGCUGCAUUUCUGCAGAACCGCAAGCACUGCAAAAAAGAGACUGGUAAUCAGUCAAAUAUUUCAUCAAGAAUAGAAUAACUUCCAUGAGAAGAAAACUACAAUGAAAACACACGUUUUCAGUUUGCAACACUUUUUUUUUCAAGGCGGAAAUGUGCUGUAGUUUGUUAGUAUUCUGUAUUCAUUGUUUUCCUCUAAUCAUUGUUGUCGUUUUGUGUAAAAUGUGGUCUGAUCACCGACUUUUUCACAAAAUAAAUACAUGGUACCUCAGGAUAACUUGUUGAAAGCAUUGUAUUUGUUGUUAGCCUAAUAGCAUAGCUGCCUCAAGUCUUAUUUUAAGUUUUUUUUGCAAGAUAAUGCACGGUGAAUCAGCAGUUUUAGGAGAAUAGAACUAGGCUAAUGUAUGCAAUAUGAAAAACUGUGCUUACAGUUAACUCCAGGGUGGAAUAAAAAGGAAAAAAACUGUUAACUCAAAAUUAGAUCUUGGGGCUGAUUAAUUUGAAAUGGUUGUGCUGGUACUGAAAAUCAUUAUUUGAUUACCAUGCUACUACCCUGUCUUCCUGUUGAUGGUCUUUUGUGAAGAUGAUAGCACAUACAGUAGUUAAUGAGCUUACAAGGCGAUGUGAAUUUGCAGGUGUAAAGGGAAAAGAGAUGGAAUGAAGGAAGAAGAUGAUUUAAUUUGAAAUAUAGAUCCUUGAUGCAGUCAGUGUCUAUGUGCAGUAGAAACCAUUAAUGGGCCCCAGAUAGUAACCGAACACCCCGCAAAGAUACAAAAACAAGGAAUGUGUGUGUGUGUGUGUGUGUGUGACACUGGACCUCACAAGUACUGUAUGUUAGAAACGGGCCCCACAAGUGACCAAAAAACGUACAUGGAGACAAAAGUUUAAAAAUUUUGUUAAAUUGAAGUGAUUUUUAUGAUUGGGAUUUUUUUUUUAAUCUUACCUGAUUUUUUACAGCAGUGUAGAACCACU
rnacentral:lncRNA from 1 species